rnacentral:rRNA from 1 species
UACGUAGGUGGCAAGCGUUGUCCGGAUUUAUUGGGUUUAAAGGGUGCGUAGGCGGUUUAAUAAGUCAGUGGUGAAAUACGGCAGCUCAACUGUCGAGGUGCCAUUGAUACUGUUGGACUUGAGUACAGACGAGGUAGGCGGAAUUGACGGUGUAGCGGUGAAAUGCUUAGAUAUCAGGAGGAACACCGGUGGGGUAAACGGCUUUCUGGACCAUAACUGACGCUGAGGCGCGAAAGCUAGGGGAGCAAACAGG